GAUGAACGCUGACAGCAUGCUUAACACAUCAGCAAUUGUUUGGUGGCGGACGGGUGAGUACCGCUUAAAGAACUUGCCUCCCAUGUCCGGACAACAUUUGGAAACGAAUGCUAAUACCUAAUACUGUGGGAGAGCUUUGCGUCCCAUUAGCUAGUUGGAGAGGUAACGGCUCACCAAGGCGAUGAUGGGUAGCCGGCCUGAGAGGGUGAUCGGCCACAAGUGGACUGAGACACGGCCCUUACGCAUACGGGAGGCAGCAGUGGGGAAUAUUGGACAAUGGACCAAAGUCUGAGCCAGCAAUUCUGUGUGCACGAUGAAGUUUUCGGAAUGUAAAGUGCUUUCAGUUGGGGAGCGGUACCAACAGAAGAAGUGACGGCUAAAUACGUGCCAGCAGCCGCGGUAAUAC
rnacentral:rRNA from 1 species